CCCUUAGAUGUUCUGGGCGGCCCGCGCACUACAAUGGCGUGUGCAGCGAGUGCCGAUGUAGAGUUUUCCGAGGUAUUCUUGCAAUGCUCGUUUUGAUGGGGAUAGACCCUUGCAACUGUUGGUUUUGAACGAGGAAUUCCUUGUAAGCAUGGUUUAUCAUCCGACGCUGAAUGCGUCCCUGCCCUUUGUACACACCGCCCGUCGCUCCUACCGAUGAGUCGUCCGGUGAAGUUCGUAGACCUCGUGAUCGCGGAUCACUGGGGGAAGCAAAAUGAACCUCGCGGUUUAGAGGAAGGAGAAGUCGUAACA
rnacentral:rRNA from 1 species